rfam:Stegodyphus mimosarum contig123527, whole genome shotgun sequence.
GCCUUCGUGGUGUAGUGGUCUGCAUGCUCGACAUGUAACCGAGAUGUCCAUGGUUCGAUUCCCGGCGAAGGUG